GAUGAACGCUGGCGGCGUGCCUAAUACAUGCAAGUCGAGCGAACAGACGAGGAGCUUGCUCCUCUGACGUUAGCGGCGGACGGGCGAGUAACACGUGCAUAACCUACCUAUAAGACUGGGAUAAUUUCGGGAAACAGCUGCUAAUACCGGAUAAUAUAUUCAACCGCAUGGAUCAAUAGUGAAAGACGGCUUUGCUGUCACUUAUAGCUGGAUCCGCGCUGCCUUAGCUAGUUGGUAAGGUAACGGCUCACCAAGGCGACGAUGCGUAGCUGACCUGAGAGGAGGAUCAGGGACACUGGAACUGAGACACGGUCCAGGAUCCGACGGGAGGCAGCAGUGGGGAAUAUGGGACAAAGGGCGAAAGCCUGAUACAGCAAUACCGCGUGGGUGAAGAAGGCCUUCGGGUUGUAAAGCCCUUUUGUUGGGAAAGAAAAGCAGCAGGUGAAUACACCGCUGUUCUGACGGUACCGAAAGAAUAAGAACCGGCUAACUUCGUG
rnacentral:rRNA from 1 species